GCGAGGGGCGAUCCCGGCUCACCUGCGGCGCAGGAAGCCGGGGCGGCGCGGCAGGAGAGCCGCCUCCCGAGGGACGGCCGGGCCUCGGCCCCUCCCGGCGCCGCGGGGGCAGCGCCCCGGCGGGACACGGGCUCUGGCCACGGCGGGAAGUGCAGGGCUGGCGCUUCAGGGCCGAAAUGAACUUUUUGGUCAGUUUCCAGCACAUCGGUGUCCAGACUCAUUGAUACUCCGUGAUUCUACGUUUUGAACUCCCUACAGAGGGGCACGUAGAGCCGGCUUGGUGUGAGGCCUCUGUUCCCUUUGGACACAGGGGUGUAGGUCCUCGGGUGAAGUGUGUACAAUGAUAUGGGUAUAAUAAUAUUUUUAUUAUAACGUGCUCUGCUCAGCCUCAGCAGCGCAGCCCCCGCCACUUCACAGAAGGGAAUGGCAAAAAAACCAUAGGAAAACUCGGAUGGAGUAAAGGGAUUGCAAGACUUCCCCCACAGCACCCCAAAACACGCCAUGUCACUGUGGCUUACAAGACACAGAAUGUUGUUCAGGAUGGCAAUAAAAACAAUUAUUUUUAUUUACAAUUA